rnacentral:rRNA from 1 species
GAUGAACGCUGGCGGCGUGCCUAAUACAUGCAAGUCGAGCGAACAGACGAGGAGCUUGCUCCUCUGACGUUAGCGGCGGACGGGUGAGUAACACGUGGAUAACCUACCUAUAAGACUGGGAUAACUUCGGGAAACCGGAGCUAAUACCGGAUAAUAUAUUGAACCGCAUGGUUCAAUAGUGAAAGACGGUUUUGCUGUCACUUAUAGAUGGAUCCGCGCCGCAUUAGCUAGUUGGUAAGGUAACGGCUUACCAAGGCAACGAUGCGUAGCCGACCUGAGAGGGUGAUCGGCCACACUGGAACUGAGACACGGUCCAGACUCCUACGGGAGGCAGCAGUAGGGAAUCUUCCGCAAUGGGCGAAAGCCUGACGGAGCAACACAGCGUGAGUGAUGAAGGUCUUCGGAUCGUAAAACUCUGUUAUUAGGGAAGAACAAAUGUGUAAGUAACUAUGCACGUCUUGACGGUACCUAAUCAGAAAGCCACGGCUAACUACGUG